GCCCUUUAAAAAGACACUGAAAAAGCCUAUAUUUGUCAUGCCGGCUUGUCCGGCUAUGACGCUAAACGCUUUGCGGAAUAAACGUAGCGGACCCGGGGGCGGUACCCGGCGCCUCCACCAGGAGUGCAUCAAGGUUUACAUUGAUCGGCGAAUCAUAAACGCCAUGAAAUGUUGCCAUACCCUUGGUGCCCUGCUGAUGGGGGCGAAACAGGAUCGACGCGCGUAAUAAAGGCACGGUUUGCGUUCGGCAUGGCUCCACCGAUAUCGGGCCAUUUCUACAAGUGCCAAUGAUAAUGAAAUGGUGCUCGCUGCCUAGAUAUAGGUAAGCGCGGUUUCGGGGGGCACCGGGCAACAGAAGCCCCCCACU
rnacentral:tmRNA from 1 species